GGAGCAUUGCUCGAGAAUAAUACCAUACAAAAUUUACAUCUAAAGUAAGUUAACUUUCCAAUGAUGGUCCCCAAAAAAUUGUACCUAUCCGUUUUGAAAUUUCUUGUUGUCUCAUUUGCAUUAGUUUAAGUUUAUCAACAAAUCUUCGUCUCUACUACAAAGAUGCACCUGAGUUUGGUUCGCAUGUGUGAACUUGCAUUUCCAUGGUUGCCAUAUCUAAAGACCAAAUUGACAAAACAAUUGGAAAUUUCCUCUUCUCACAACAGAAUCUAUCUUUAGCACAGACCAAAUGAAAGAUCUAACCAUCUUUUCAAUGCAAGUGCACUUCGAAGAUACGUUAAGAACUUCAUAAUCUUUGGAUAAUAAAUAAAUCGGAAUGCAAGAGUUUCUUAAGCAUUGUCAUUUUGCGCCACGGCUCUCUAAACAUCACCCAUAGAACACAAACCCAAUCCCUAAGAAGCUACUCCUCCGUCCAUUCUUG
rnacentral:lncRNA from 1 species